UACGUAGGGGGCAAGCGUUGUCCGGAAUUAUUGGGCGUAAAGAGCGUGUAGGCGGUCCGGUAAGUCAGCUGUGAAAGUCAAGGGCUCAACCCUUGAAUGCCGGUUGAUACUGUCGGGCUAGAGUCCGGAAGAGGCGAGUGGAAUUCCCCGGUGUAGCGGUGAAAUGCGCAGAUAUCGGGAGGAACACCAAUGGCGAAGGCAGCUCGCUGGGACGGUACUGACGCUGAGACGCGAAAAGCGUGGGGAGCAAACAGG
rnacentral:rRNA from 1 species